GCAGAGGCGGGGCAGAACUGCAUCUGCAAAUGUGUGAAGCUGUGCAUGCGGACGCACAUCCCGUCCUUGGAGGACUGCAAGGGCAAGUGCAGGGAGAAGUCGUGCAUCAAGAGCUGCGAUAAGGCCUGCGUCAGCAAGGGCUUUCCCAAGACCCUUUCCAAAGGCAUCCAGACUUGCGAGGUCGAGCCGCUCAACGCCGGUGAGCAACACAUGCUGCACAAAUGA
rnacentral:rRNA from 1 species